rnacentral:rRNA from 1 species
AUUGAACGCUGGCGGCAGGCCUAACACAUGCAAGUCGAGCGGAGCGGCGGACGGGUGAGUCAUGCCUAGGAAUCUGCCUGGUAGUGGGGGAUAACGUCCGGAAACGGGCGCUAAUACCGCAUACUCUCAGAUGAGCCUAGGUAGGAUUAGCUAGUUGGGGGGGUAAAGGCCUACCACGGCGACGAUCCGUAACUGGUCUGAGAGGAUGAUCAGUCACACUGGAACUUAGACACGGUCCAGACUCCUACGGGAGGCAGCAGGGGGGAAUAUUGGACAAUGGGCGAAAGCCUGAUCCAGCCAUGCCGCGUGUGUGAAGAAGGUCUUCGGAUUGUAAAGCACUUUAAGUUGGGAGGCGUUACCAACAGAAUAAGCACCGGCUAACUUCGUGCCAGCAGCCGCGGUAAUUC